rnacentral:rRNA from 1 species
GAUGAACGCUGGCGGCGUGCCUAAUACAUGCAAGUCGAGCGAACGGACGAGAAGCUUGCUUCUCUGAUGUUAGCGGCGGACGGGUGAGUAACACGUGGAUAACCUACCUAUAAGACUGGGAUAACUUCGGGAAACCGUAGCUAAUACCGGAUAAUAUUUUGAACCGCAUGGUUCAAAAGUGAAAGACGGUCUUGCUGUCACUUAUAGAUGGAUCCGCGCUGCAUUAGCUAGUUGGUAAGGUAACGGCUUACCAAGGCAACGAUGCAUAGCCGACCUGAGAGGGUGAUCGGCCACACUGGAACUGAGACACGGUCCAGACUUCUACGGGAGGCAGCAGUAGGGAAUCUUCCGCAAUGGGCGAAAGCCUGACGGAGCAACGCCGCGUGAGUGAUGAAGGUCUUCGGAUCGUAAAACUCUGUUAUUAGGGAAGAACAUAUGUGUAAGUAACUGUGCACAUCUUGACGGUACCUAAUCAGAAAGCCGCGGCUAACUACGUG